GAUGAACGCUGGCUACAGGCUCAACACAUGCAAGUCGAGGGGAAACGCCGGGGAAGCUUGCUUCCCCGGGCGUCGACCGGCGCACGGGUGAGUAACGCGUAUCCAACCUGCCUCUGACUGAGGGAUAACCCGUCGAAAGUCGGCCUAAUACCUCAUGGCAUCGUCUGCGGGCAUCCAACGACGAUUAAAGAUUUCAUCGGUCAGGGAUGGGGAUGCGUCUGAUUAGCGAGUUGGCGGGGUAACGGCCCACCAAGGCGACGAUCAGUAGGGGUUCUGAGAGGAAGGUCCCCCACAUUGGAACUGAGACACGGUCCAAACUCCUACGGGAGGCAGCAGUGAGGAAUAUUGGUCAAUGGGCGAGAGCCUGAACCAGCCAAGUAGCGUGCAGGAUGACGGCCCUAUGGGUUGUAAACUGCUUUUAUGCGGGGAUAAAGUGAGGGACGUGUCCUUCAUUGCAGGUACCGCAUGAAUAAGGACCGGCUAAUUCCGUG
rnacentral:rRNA from 1 species